rnacentral:rRNA from 1 species
UACUCGAGUGGCGAACUGGUGAGUAACACGUGGGUGAUCUGCCCUUCACUUCGGGAUAAGCCUGGGAAACUGGGUCUAAUACUGGAUAGGACCAUCGUUUAGUGUCGGUGGUGGAAAGUUUUUUCGGUGGAGGAUGAGCUCGCGGCCUAUCAGCUUGUUGGUGGGGUAAUGGCCUACCAAGGCGACGACGGGUAGCCGGCCUGAGAGGGUGGACGGCCACAUUGGGACUGAGACACGGCCCAG